UACAGAGGGUGCGAGCGUUGUUCGGAAUUACUGGGCGUAAAGCGUGCGCAGGCGGUUUUGUAAGUCUGACGUGAAAUCCCCGGGCUUAACCUGGGAACUGCACUUGAAACUACGAUGCUGGAGUAUGGCAGAGGGAGGUGGAAUUCCACGUGUAGCAGUGAAAUGCGUAGAUAUGCGGAGGAACAUCGAUGGCGAAGGCAAUCCCCUGGGCCUGCACUGACGCUCAUGCACGAAAGCGUGGGGAGCAAACAGG
rnacentral:rRNA from 1 species